rnacentral:rRNA from 1 species
AACGAACGCUGGCGGCAGGCUUAACACAUGCAAGUCGAACGGUUGUAGCAAUACAGCAGUGGCAGACGGAUGAGUAACACGUGGGAACCUUCCUAGGGGUACGGAACAACUCAGGGAAACUUGAGCUAAUACCGUAUACGUCCGUGAGGAGAAAGUUUUUAACGCCCCUACGACGGGCCCGGCCGUAGGAGUUAGGUUAGGUUGGUUGGAGGUAAC